AAGCAACAGGAAAAUGUACCCAUCGUAGUUCCUUGAGGGCUGCAGAAGGUCAUGCUAGUUUGAACAUAGUGGUUCCAUGUGGCUGGUUUUACAUCUGUGCUCAGAUGAUUUGUUUUUUUUUUGUUUUUUUGUUUUUGUCUUCAAGGUAGAAGAACACUCUAGUCCCACAGGCCCUUUAAUCAGUACCCACUGGGGAGUAUUUGUGGAUGUGUUUAUCAGUUUCAGGGUGUCUUGACCAAGAUUCAGGAGGGAGGGUAUCCCCUAUGAAGAUGGCCUUUUUCUCUUGGCUCUCCUUCAUGCACCCUUCUCAAGCCGUGCUUACAUUUCCUCUAACACUGCAGGCUCCAUUGGAACUCCAGCCCCUUUACACCUGCUGUCACCUCAACUGGAGUAUCCUUCCACUCACUUAUCAUCUGGCAAAUUCCUUCCUCCUCCUCCUUCAAGAUCUAGGUCAGAUGGUCCCUUUCUGAAACCUUCUGUGGCUCUCCCGGCAGAGUUAGGCCUCCCUUCUUUGUAGAUAUUCAUUAACUCACAUAUUUGGUUAGCUACCAAAAAAUCGUCCUUGCCCUAGAGGAGUUCAUAGGCUAGUGGGGUAGACAAACCUAAACAUUUAGACAGCCAUGCUGACUGCAUUAGGGAAGCACUGAGGAGGAGCACUUCACCUGCCUUGGGGGACAGAUGACAGGGAAGGUUCCAGAAGGUGGGGACACCUGAAUCCUAAGAGUGUGUGGGUAUCCAGAUAAGGAACUGGCUUGGGCAAAGGCACAGAGGCAACAAAUAAUGUUGCAGGUGCACAACAAUGACAAGCAGUUGGUUUUGCUGGAACAUAGGGGCCUGAAAAUGUAGGACUUUCUAUUAUAUUGACCCAUAUGAAACUGCUUUUUUUUUUUUGAGAUCAAGUCUCACUCUGUCACCCAGGCUGGAGUGCAGUGGCAUGAUCUCAGCUCACUGCAACCUCCGCCUCCCAAGUUCAAGUGAUUUUCCUGCCUCAGCCUCCCAUCUAGCUGGGACUACAGGCAUGCACCAUCAUGCCUAGCUAAUUUUUGUAUUUUUAUUUUUAUGGAGACGGAGUUUCACCAUGUUGGCCAAGCUGGUCAUGAACUCCUGACCUCAGAUGACCCACCCGCCUCAGCCUCCCAAAGUGCUGGGAUUACAGGUGUGAGCCACCGCGCU
rnacentral:lncRNA from 1 species